GAAUCUGGGAGGACCAUCUCCUAAGGCUAAAUACUCUCUAGUGACCGAUAGUGAACCAGUACCGUGAGGGAAAGGUGAAAAGCACCCCGGAAGGGGAGUGAAAUAGAACCUGAAACCGUGUGCUUACAAGUAGUCAGAGCCCGUUAAUGGGUGAUGGCGUGCCUUUUGUAGAAUGAACCGGCGAGUUACGAUUUGAUGCAAGGUUAAGCAGUAAAUGUGGAGCCGUAGCGAAAGCGAGUCUGAAUAGGGCGUUUAGUAUUUGGUCGUAGACCCGAAACCAGGUGAUCUACCCUUGGUCAGGUUGAAGUUCAGGUAACACUGAAUGGAGGACCGAACCGACUUACGUUGAAAAGUGAGCGGAUGAACUGAGGGUAGCGGAGAAAUUCCAAUCGAACCUGGAGAUAGCUGGUUCUCUCCGAAAUAGCUUUAGGGCUAGCCUCAAGUGAUGAUUAUUGGAGGUAGAGCACUGUUUGGACGAGGGGCCCCUCUCGGGUUACCGAAUUCAGACAAACUCCGAAUGCCAAUUAAUUUAACUUGGGAGUCAGAACAUGGGUGAUAAGGUCCGUGUUCGAAAGGGAAACAGCCCAGACCACCAGCUAAGGUCCCAAAAUAUAUGUUAAGUGGAAAAGGAUGUGGCGUUGCCCAGACAACUAGGAUGUUGGCUUAGAAGCAGCCAUCAUUUAAAGAGUGCGUAAUAGCUCACUAGUCGAGUGACACUGCGCCGAAAAUGUACCGGGGCUAAACAUAUUACCGAAGCUGUGGAUUGUCCUUUGGACAAUGGUAGGAGAGCGUUCUAAGGGCGUUGAAGCAUGAUCGUAAGGACAUGUGGAGCGCUUAGAAGUGAGAAUGCCGGUGUGAGUAGCGAAAGACGGGUGAGAAUCCCGUCCACCGAUUGACUAAGGUUUCCAGAGGAAGGCUCGUCCGCUCUGGGUUAGUCGGGUCCUAAGCUGAGGCCGACAGGCGUAGGCGAUGGAUAACAGGUUGAUAUUCCUGUACCACCUAUAAUCGUUUUAAUCGAUGGGGGGACGCAGUAGGAUAGGCGAAGCGUGCGAUUGGAUUGCACGUCUAAGCAGUAAGGCUGAGUAUUAGGCAAAUCCGGUACUCGUUAAGGCUGAGCUGUGAUGGGGAGAAGACAUUGUGUCUUCGAGUCGUUGAUUUCACACUGCCGAGAAAAGCCUCUAGAUAGAAAAUAGGUGCCCGUACCGCAAACCGACACAGGUAGUCAAGAUGAGAAUUCUAAGGUGAGCGAGCGAACUCUCGUUA
rnacentral:rRNA from 1 species